AGUGAACGCUGGCGGUAGGCCUAACACAUGCAAGUCGAACGGCAGCACAGUAAGAGCUUGCUCUUACGGGUGGCGAGUGACGGACGGGUGAGGAAUACAUCGGAAUCUACUUUUUCGUGGGGGCUAACGUAGGGAAACUUACGCUAAUACCGCAUACGACCUACGGGUGAAAGCAGGGGAUCUUCGGACCUUGCGCGAUUGAAUGAGCCGAUGUCGGAUUAGCUAGUUGGCGGGGUAAAGGCCCACCAAGGCGACGAUCCGUAGCUGGUCUGAGAGGAUGAUCAGCCACACUGGAACUGAGGCACGGUCCAGACUCCUACGGGAGGCAGCAGUGGGGAAUAUUGGACAAUGGGCGCAAGCCUGAUCCAGCCAUACCGCGUGGGUGAAGAAGGCCUUCGGGUUGUAAAGCCCUUUUGUUGGGAAAGAAAAGCAGCAGGUUAAUACCCCGCUGUUCUGACGGUACCCAAAGAAUAAGCACCGGCUAACUUCGUG
rnacentral:rRNA from 1 species